GACGAACGCUGGCGGCGUGCCUAAUACAUGCAAGUUGAGCGACAAAUGAUGGUACUUGUACCAUCUCGUUGAGCGGCGAACGGGUGAGUAAAGCGUGGGGAACCUGCUUUUAAGCCGGGGACAACUUUGGGAAACGGAUGCUAAUACCGCAUAAAUACUUUAACCACAAGUUUCAUAGUUGAAAGAUGUUUUUGCAUCACUUAUAGAUGGUACCGCGUCGUAUUAGCUAGUUGGUAAGGUAAAGGCUUACCAAGGCAACGAUGCGUAGCCGACCUGAGAGGGGGACGGCCAAAAUGGGACCGGAGACACGGCCAAGAUCCCUAGGGGAGGCAGCAGUAGGGAACCUCCGGCAAUGGGCGAAAGCCUGACGGAGAACGGCGGCGUGAGUGAGGAGGGUCUCGGGACGGAAAAAUCCGUUUAUUAGGGAAGAACAAAUUUGGAAUGAACUACGCACGUCUUGACGGUACCUACUCAGAAAGCCACGGCUAACUACGUG
rnacentral:rRNA from 1 species